GAACACGGGACUGCUGAAAAAAAACACUUGUGAAGAAUCUUUGGAAGAUUUAGCUGUGUGGGUGAUUUGUAACCACAUGUACACAAUGGAAAACAUAGAUUGGAACAUUGACAACACAAGAAGAAUUUCACCAGAAGUAUCAAUGGCCAUUCAUAAUUAUCGAGUAACUUUUCCUGAAUUGCAGAGCUAACAAACUGUCAAGACGAACUGAAGA